rnacentral:rRNA from 1 species
GACAGAGGUGCCAAGCGUUAUGCGGAAUCACUGGGCUUAAAGCGUGUGUAGGUGGAAGCGUAAGUACCUUGUGAAAUCCCACGGCUCAACCGUGGAACUGCUUGGUAUACUGCGUUUCUUGAGCCAACUAGGGGCUAUCGGAACAAGUGGUGGAGCGGUGAAAUGCGUAGAUAUCACUUGGAACGCCAAUGGUGAAAACAGAUAGCUGGGGUUGUGCUGACACUGAGACACGAAAGCCAGGGGAGCAAACGGG